ACGGAAGGCAGCAGUGAGGAAUAUUGGUCAAUGGGCGGAAGCCUGAACCAGCCAAGUCGCGUGAAGGAUGAAGGUAUUAUGUAUUGUAAACUUCUUUAGACGUAGAGAAAUAAGCGGGACGCGUCCCGCGGUGCUAGUAUACGUAGAAUAAGGAUCGGCUAACUCCGUGCCAGCAGCCGCGGUAAUACGGAGGAUCCGAGCGUUAUCCGGAUUUAUUGGGUUUAAAGGGUGCGCAGGCGGUCUUUUAAGUCAGUGGUUAAAUCGUGGAGCUCAACUCCAUCCCGCCAUUGAUACUGGAGGACUUGAUUGCGGUCGAGGUUGGCGGAAUUCGCCGUGUAGCGGUGAAAUGCAUAGAUAUGGCGAAGAACUCCGAUUGCGUAGGCAGCUGACCAGGCCGUAAAUGACGCUCAUGCACGAAAGUGCGGGGAUCGAACAGGAUUAGAUACCCUGGUA
rnacentral:rRNA from 1 species